CACCGCGGUUAUACGAGAGGCCCAAGUUGAUAAAUACCGGCGUAAAGAGUGGUUAGAGAAGAAACUAAACUAAAGCCAAACGCCUUCAGAGCUGUUAUACGCUUACGAAGAGCAGAGACACAACCACGAAAGUGGCUUUACUUAACCUGACCCCACGAAAGCUAGGGCA
rnacentral:rRNA from 1 species